rnacentral:rRNA from 1 species
GAUGAACGCUGGCGGCGUGCCUAAUACAUGCAAGUCGAGCGAACAGACGAGGAGCUUGCUCCUCUGACGUUAGCGGCGGACGGGUGAGUAACACGUGGAUAACCUACCUAUAAGACUGGGAUAACUUCGGGAAACCGGAGCUAAUACCGGAUAAUAUAUUGAACCGCAUGGUUCAAUAGUGAAAGACGGUUUUGCUGUCACUUAUAGAUGGAUCCGCGCCGCAUUAGCUAGUUGGUAAGGUAACGGCUUACCAAGGCAACGAUGCGUAGCCGACCUGAGAGGGUGAUCGGCCACACUGGAACUGAGACACGGUCCAGACUCCUACUGGAGGCAGCAGUAGGGAAUCUUCCGCAAUGGGCGAAAGCCUGACGGAGCAACGCCGCGUGAGUGAUGAAGGUCUUCGGAUCGUAAAACUCUGUUAUUAGGGAAGAACCAAUGUGUAAGUAACUAUGCACGUCUUGACGGUACCUAAUCAGAAAGCCACGGCUAACUACGUG